GUGACUCCCAUAUUUUAAAGUAUUUAAAACCCUUCCUUAAAAAUCCCCAGGACAGUUUUCAGGUGUCCACCACCCCAGCGUGGGUCAGGUGAAGAAAAUCCUGGGAGAAUUCACCACCAACCACUAGGGAUUUCUGUGUAUGACUCGGUCUUUACUUUUCUCCAGUGUUUGGGGGCGGGGGAACCUCUGCAAAUGUUCACCCUCAAAUGUUGACACUGUAACACUCUAAAAAAAAUCAAUGGAACUAUACCACUCAGCACCUUGGGAGAUCCUGGGGACCCUCUGUGUUUACACAUCCUCAUAAAAACAUGCAAUGUCUACCUUAAAUACUCUAGCAUUUAUGCUACAGACGGACAUAGCUGAGAGAGAGAGAGAGAGAGAGAGAGAGAGAGAGAGAGAGAGAGA